UACGUAGGGGGCAAGCGUUGUCCGGAAUCAUUGGGCGUAAAGAGCGCGUAGGCGGUCCGGUAAGUCGGUUGUGAAAACUGGGGGCUCAACCCUCAGAGGCCGACCGAUACUGUCGGGCUAGAGUCCGGAAGAGGCGAGUGGAAUUCCUGGUGUAGCGGUGAAAUGCGCAGAUAUCAGGAGGAACACCUGUGGCGAAGGCGGGUCUCUGGGCAAUAACUGACGCUGAGGAGCGAAAGCGUGGGGAGCGAACAGG
rnacentral:rRNA from 1 species